rnacentral:lncRNA from 1 species
AUCUAUAUGCAGCAGACAUGGUGCUAGGACUCCACACGUCCUCUCAGUAAAUCCCAGGAGACAGGACCCCAGAGGCAUUGCUCUCAUUCAGUGCUCUCGCCUCCCUCCUGGAUUGCCUAGUCAGAGUGAGACAUGGAGAGGGGCUGAUGUAACCACCCCAGCAGGAGUAAGGAGGCUGGAAGGAGGAAACCAGUGAUGAAGGAUUUGCCAUAACCUUGUCCUGGAUGGAGAGCCAUGGCCAAAGUGGGUGGAGAGGAAUGGCCAUGCAAGGCAGCUGUGAUGGAUUCACCUCUGUGCAAGACAGCUAUGACGGAGUUGAUAGAAAGUGUGAGAACAUGGGCCACCCCUCCUUGGAUGUAUUGGAAUGGUGUGAUUCUAAGAGUCCUGGGACAGAAGGAGUAUUGGAGGUGUCAAGGGGCUGGACCGGUGAGGACAGGAGUCGAAUGUGCCCCUGAUCUCUGUCCCUCUCCUCGGGGCUGCAGCCCUUGUGACAUCGAAGUGCCCCACCCCCUCCUUCGGCUUCCCUCGCUGCUGCGCAGAGGCCACUGGAGGGCGCUGUCUCCUCACACUUCUGGCUGAGCUCACCUCCGCUGUCUGAACCUCCUUUUGAGGCUGGAGAGAAAUUGAGAGGCCUGGAGCCAGUGUCUGGGAGGCCUCUGGACACAGCUGGACCCACCGAGGCCACAUGGGGUCAGUAGGAUCUGAGCCUGUGGAAGGAGGUGCCAGAGCAAUGACUAGGAGUCAAAGUCCUGGGCUUCAGGGCGAGGGCUUGUGGUGAGCUCUGGACAAAUGGCUUUGUCUGUUCGAUCCUCAGUUUUUGUAUCUGCAGACUGUGGAGAGUGACCCACCUUAUGGCACUGUUGUGAGAAGUGCUACAAAUGAGAAUGUACAUGUGAGUGCUUCAAAGAACUCAGAUGUUCUCCAUGCCAGAGUGGGUUUUAUUUAUUUAUUUAUUUUUUGAUGGAGUCUUGCUCUGUUGCCCAGGCUGGAGUGUGCAAUGGUGCAAUCUUAGCUCACUGCAACCUCUGCCUCCUGGGUUCAAGGAAUUCUCCUGCCUCAGCCUUGCCGAGUAGCUGGGAUUACAGGUGCACACCACCACACCCAGCUAAUUUUUGUAUUUUUAGUAGAGAUGGGGUUUCACCAUGUUGGCCAGGCUGGUCUCAAACUCCUAAACUCAAAUGAUCCACCUGCCUAGGCCUCAAAAAGUGCUGGAAUUACAGGCAUGAGCCAUCUCACCUGGCUAAUUUUUAUAUUGUUAGUAGAGAGAGGGUUUCACCAUGUUGACCAGGCUGGUCUCAAACUCCUGACCCCAGAUGAUCUGCCCGCCUCUGCUUCCCAAAGUGCUGGGAUUACAGGCAUGAGCCACCGUGCCUGAUCCGCCAGAGUAGGUCUUGAUGGUUAUCACCCUUGAAGAAUCAUCCAGUAACCCAAGGAGAAGAUCAUUUGGCUAGGGCCCCGUAUGACCUUCAAACUGGCAUAGGCACUGAACUGUUCCUUACGUUCUCACAACAGCCCCAAGAGGUAUGAAUUAUUAUCAUCUCCAUUUCAUAGCUGGGAAAACCCAGGCUCAGAGAGGCGCCAUAGCUCCCCCUGGGUCACCCAGCCACUGGGUGGCCUUACCGGAAUUCAGACCCAGGUCUGUUUGGCUCCAUAGACUUGCUUAAACUACUGGACUGUCCCGCACUGGCCCAUGCCAAGUCAGGAAAGGGUUUGAUGUGACCUACUAAAGUCCCUCGGGCUGAGGUUUCAGCUGAGUGUCCUUUAUUUAGUCCUUUGGAGGUGUGGACCCGUAUGUCUUUGGUAUGGAUCCACAUUUCAGUGGGGUCAGUAACUCCCUGGAUUGGUUUUGCCAUUUUUUUUUCUCCCCUUGGACUUAUACGCAUGAUUCUUCCCCCUCCCUGGGAAGCAGAGCUGGCCCUGUGACAUAGGUGGCUUUACCUGCAGCUUGACCUCUUUACCUCUUUUUUUUUUUUUUUUUUUUUUGAGAUGGAGUCUCACUCUGUUGCCCAGGCUGGAGUGCAGUGGUGCAAUCUCGGCUCACUGCAACCUCUGCCUCCUAGGUUCAAGUGAUUCUCCUGCCUCAGCCUUCCCAGUAGCUGGGACUACAGGCGCACACCACCACACCUGGCUAAUUUUUGUGUUUUUAGUAGAGAUGGCGUUUCACCAUGUUGGCCAGGCUGGUCUCGAACUCCUGACCUCUCUCAGGCGAUCUGGCCGCCUUGGCCUCCUAAAUUGCUAGGAUUACAGGCAUGAGCCACGGCACCCGGCAACCUUCUCAUAUGAGUGGCAGAUGGGUGGAAGAGGCUGGACUUAUGUCCAUUCACAGGCUCCCCACCCUGGUCAGGGUGCAGGGUAUUUGCUGUGCUGGAGGACAUACCUCCAUGUUAAAAUGCCCAGUUGAAGCCUUGUAGCUUUUUUCACUUCUUAUUUUCUAUCUUGAUGAAAGAUUGUGCUGUCGGCAGGGUUGUAGUUAAGUCGAAGUGUGGCUUUGUUUUCACAAUUUCUGUUCACUUUCCUCCCACUCUUAGGCAGCUUGAGAAGGGUGGAGGGGUGGGGAAGGAGAGUGACAGUGGGUGCUGGAAUCUCCCAGCCUGGGGGGUUCUUGAAGUUCCACAGUCAUGGAAUUGUGGCGCUGGAAGCGACCCUCCCAGGGCACAGAGGAGGCAACUGAGGCCCAGGGAGAGGACCCAGACCCUCCCAAGGUCGCCCAGCUAGUUAGCGACAGGCUGGGACCAGAAUCUGCCUUUCUGCUGGUCCCACGCCAACACAUUUGCUAAGUCACCCAAAGCCUGGAGUGUGGUUAGUUUAGAAAACUGAGACAAGGAGCCAGGGGAUGGGACAGUGGAGCGGGGACAGGGAGGUGCUGACCUUGUGCUUUGAAAGCGCUAGUGGGGAGUUGCUUGUCUUCAUCUGACGUCAGCCCCUGGACAAAUAAUGGCCACAGAAAGCAAAUAUUAUGAGAGUCCUUGUGUAAACACGGAGCUGGUGUUUCAGUGUCAGAAAUGGGCCGAGGACUCCAGGCUCUAUCAGACCAGCUCCCCAGCGCUGCCUCUCAGCAAAUGUACCUCUCCCUGCUGGGGAAGAAGGACCUUCAACAAAGAUGGGGGGCAGAGUCCCCCUAAGAGGCCACAGUGGGGCAGAAAGGGAGAAGCUAGGAGGGUUCUGGGAGAACUGAGAAGAUGCAGCAUACCCAGGGACUAAAUUAGUUUAGGGAUGCAGGAAGAAAAACCUGUCAAUUACCAGGCACCCAUCCUGUGUCAGGCCUGACUGAGCCCUUUAUAGACAUUGUCUCAUUUAAUCUUCCCAGGAGCUCUAAGGGAUAGGCAUUGUUGUCCACAUUUUGUAGAUAAGUACAUUGAGGCUCAGAGAGGUUAAGCAACUUGUCUGCAGUCACACAGGUGGGAAGUGAUAGAACGGGGAUUUGAUCUCAAGUCUGUCUGAGUCCACUACCCUGGUGUGUUUUGCAGUCUGGACCAAGGGCCUUUCUUCAUCAGAGUCACCAGGAAACCUUGUCAAAGAGGAGAUACCCAGGCCUUGCACCAGCCUUUGGGGAGGGCCUGAGAGUGAGCAUCUCCCAGGGAAGAGGAAGGAGGAAGGCUGCUAACACCUGGGAAUAAUCGCUCAAUAGCAGGAGCAGCUAAAUUUUUCCUUAAAGGGCUAGAUACUAAAUAUUUUAGACUCUGCAGACCUUUAGUCUCUGUUGCAACUAUUUGGCUCUGUUACCGUUGUGUGAAAGCAGCCACAGACAAUACGUAUGUGGAUGAGGGUGGAUGCAUUCCAACAAAACUUUAUUUACAAAGUGGCAUGCUGGAUUUGUCCCUGGUAGUUUGCUGCCCCUUGUCUAUAGCAUGCAAAGUGCCCCCAUAGCCUGUCUCUCUGGUUGUCUUCCCAGCAGCCCUGUGAGGAGGGUAUGAUUUUCUCCGUUCUACAGAUGAGGAGAUGGAGGCCCGGGGAGGUUAGACAUCCAGGGUCCCACAGAAAGUGGAUGUCAGAGCUGGGAGUAGAAUUAGACCUCCUGAUCCCAGUUCAGUGUGCUGGAAAGUAUGAGCCUGGUAAGAAGGUCUGGGCCAGGGAGAUUGCUAUUAAGUAAUGAAAGCAGCCACCACUCACUGGGUACUUGCCAUGUGCUGGGCACUGAGUCAUGACCUCACAUAAGCUGCUACCCAGAUGUUGAAUGUCAUUGUCUCUGUCACAUGGGGUGGUCACAGCCUCCCUGGGAGGUAGGAAGGCAUCUGCAGCAUGUCAAAACCAGCUUAUCUCGGGUGCCCCAAUACACCUGACAUGUUACAGCUGCACCACGGGAAGGUGGAAGCUGCUGACAAGAUGUAUUUGCCUUUCCAUUCGUGAGAAUGUAUGCAUUCUCUCUCUCUCUGUCUCUUUUUUUCUCUCUUUUUCUCUCUCAUUCAAAGACACACACACACACACACACACACACACACACACACACACCCCAGUCUCAAACAAACAUCAAAUAGACAUGUGGUCACUUCAGUGACCUUCUUGUCCUAGGUAGGAGAAUACAAAACACAAGGCCUGGAAAUGACUCGUCUGGUUUACAUGACAUGUCCCUGCUGAGAUCAGGAACCGGGAAACUGCCUGGUAUGGGGAAAAGAAUGCUGGACUUCCAGUUGGCCUGGAUUCCGUACCACAGCCUGACCCUGAUCUGCCGGGUGACUUUAGGUGUCACUCUCCUCAUUUCUAAAAUGGAUGUCGCUUUCCUAAUUCACAAAUUGGGUGGGAAGUAGGUUUGUUCAUUUGUUCAAGGCAUUCAUUUAUUCAUCCAUUCACUUCCAACUAUGUCGUAAGCACCUUCAGUGUGCUAAACACAGCUAGAUCAUUUGAUUUGAAACUCUAAAGAUUUAAGAUGUGAUCCUUCCUACGCCUGUUUAAGAGUUAGUACUUAAAUGAUAGGUCUUUUGACUCAAGGAUGCCUUGUGCUAGGAUUUCCCUCUAGGUAAAAAAUUUAUCUUUCUCCCAUGCAUAAAGUGGGCCUUGGCAGGCCAGGUGCGAUGGCUAAUGCCUGUAAUCCCAGCUCUUUGGCAGGCUGAGGUGGGAGGAUCACUUGAGUCCAGGAGUUUGAGUCCAGCCUGGUCAACAUGGUGAGACCCUAUCUCUACAAACAAACAAACAAACAAAAAAAUUAGCCAGGCAUGGUGGUGAAUGUCUGUGGUCUCAGCUACAUGGUAGGCUGAGGCAGGAGGCUUGCUUGAACCCAGGACGCAGAGGCUGCAGUGAGCCGUGUUUGCACCACUGCACUCCAGCCUAGGUGACAGAGCAAGACACUGUCUCAGAACAAACAAACAAAGUGGGCCUUGGCAAGAAUAUAUUGCCAGCUCUGUGUGCCAAUUUAUUCAUCCAGUCUUCCAUCUAUCCAUUCUGUCCAUCCAUCCACCCACCCACCCAUUCAGCCACCCAUCCAUCCAUUCAUCCACCCAUCCAUCCAUUCAGCCACCCAUCCAUCCAUUCAUCCACCCAUCCAUCCAUUCAUCCAUCUAUCCAUCCAUUCAUCCAUCCAUCCAUCCAUCCAUCCAUCCAUCCAUCCAUCCAUUUUUCCACAUGAACCCUUGCAUCCCUCCAUGCAAUCAUCCAUCUAUUCAAUCCAUCCAUUUAUCCAUCCACGUAUUUAUUAAUCACUUCUAUGUGCCUGGCUCAACUCUGUCCACUGACUCCAACCUCCAAGAAGGCCCUAUGCCCAUAGUCAGCUUGAGUUUGAGGCAGAGGUGAUGGAAAGCUCAGAGUCUAGGUAGCAAUAAUUUCCGAUUCUCAGAAUCCAGGAACUCUCUGAAAUGCCUUCAGGCACUUUGAGAGUAAGCGGAGCCGGAGACAGAUCCGUUCAGGCUGCACACACCUCCCCUGUUUAGAUGAAGCCCUUCCUCUUGGUUCUGCUCUAGCCUCUCCCUCCGUGAGAACACCUGAAGCCCCGGCCCUGGCCCUGUGUCAACUAAAAAGAAUCCUACAUGAAUGGGUAAACAAACUGUGGCAUAUCCAUGCAACAAAAUAGUAUACAGCUGUGAAAAGUAAUGAGGCACUGACACGUGCCUCACCAUGGCCGAACCUUGCAAACACUAUGCUAAGUGAAAAAAACCAGACACAAAAGACCACGCAUUGCAUGAUUCCAUUUGUCAAAACAGGCAAAUCCAUAGAGACAGAAAGGAGAUUAGUGGCGGCCGGGGGCUGAGGGGAGGAAAGAAUGAGGGAUGAUUGCUAAAGGAUACAGGAUUCUUUUGGAGAUGAUGAAAUGUUCUGGAAUUAGUAGUGAUGGUUGCACAACGUUGCGAAUAGAAAUCACUGGAUUGUAUACUUUAAAAGGGUGAACUGUAUGGAAUAUAAAUUAUUUUGGAAA